GACGAACGCUGGCGGCGUGCUUAACACAUGCAAGUCGAACGGUAAGGCCCUUCGGGGUACACGAGUGGCGAACGGGUGAGUAACACGUGGUGAUCUGCCCUGCACUUUGGGAUAAGCCUGGGAAACUGGGUCUAAUACCGAAUAUGACCAUGGACUUCACGGUUUGUGGUGGAAAGCUUUUGCGGUGUGGGAUGGGCCCGCGGCCUAUCGGCUUGUUGGUGGGGUAAUGGCCUACCAAGGCGACGACGGGUAGCCGGCCUGAGAGGGUGACCGGCCACACUGGGACUGAGAUACGGCCCAGACUCCUACGGGAGGCAGCAGUGGGGAAUAUUGCACAAUAGGGCGCAAGCCUGAUGCAGCGACGCCGCGUGGGGGAUGACGGCCUC
rnacentral:rRNA from 1 species